AGAGAAAUAAACAGUACAAAUGAAAUAUUUUUCCUCUUAGUUUUACUUCUUAAAAUGUGACUAACUUUUGUGAAUAAUAUUCAACUUUCUGAAAUUUGAUUUAAUAUUUUAAUUGAUAUUAAAAACAAACAAAAAGGCUAUUUUAAGAUGAUAAACCUUUGCACUUACAACUUAUCCUCAGUACAAUAAAUGAUCAAGUUUAAACUUGAUUCGAGAAUGGGUGUGGGGCAAAUAGCGUGUAUAACAAGUAAAAUUGUUAUACCACUUUCUUUUUCAUUGAGAACAAAUCUU